rnacentral:rRNA from 1 species
AAAUCAGGAAAACUAUCCUAAACACGCCCGAUCCCGUCUAUCUUGGAAGCUAAGCAAGUUUGGGCCUGGUUAGUACUUAGAUGGGAGACCACCUAGGAAGACCAGGUGAUGUA